AAAAGUUUCUGAAGCGCUGAACAAGUGAAAAUACAAGCUGUGUUGAACGUAGGCGCAUACAUAGAUUAUUUAAGUUCAGAACAAAAAGAUAAAUAAUUUUAUGGAAUGACUGGCUGCUAACCCACAGACAGGAUGGUCGUUGCGUCUUGAGCAGAGACACACUGCUCCAACUUUGGGGAGCCAUCGCUAUCCGAACGUGUAUGCUUCAUGGUGCCAGUACAUAGAGAUGCCAACUCUCUCAAACAAUCUAGGUAUACUGUAUAUACAAAAUCCUUGUAUAAUUUUUCAAGUUCACUGUCAAGGUCGCCCAUAGUUGGCAUGCGCUUACCCUGCAAUGCAGAACUAAAUAUGUAUAGUGUGGAUAUAUGGCCACCACAAUGGAUGGACGUGUGUGUCGGUUUUGCUGGGUAGGUUGCUGGUCGACUUGGCUCUAGCCAAGGGAGGGAAAGCUUCGAGGGCAUCCUCUAUUAUUUUUAUUAGGGUACAGUUGGAUAUUUUUCGGUAUAGGCAGAGCUACCGUGUUUAUAAGACCUUUCUCCGUGUUUUCCUUCAAAGAGGACUCGCCUCUUGUCUAUUGCAUCUAGGGCAGUUUCAGAUAUUUUUGAAUCCAUCGGAUAACAUAUUGUAGAUCUGUUCUGUCCCCAUAGCGGAUUCAGAUUAUGUUUUAAAAGUGCUAGAAGAUGUGAGAGGUGCUCUGUAAAUCAAAAGUCGUUCCUAACCUAACAGUGUACAAAAACCAAAACAAGUUUGUGUACAACCAGUUAUUACUAUAUACAUUAAAUAUACUUUAUUCUGUGAUGCGUAUACCAUCACAAGUCUUGGCUUGUUUCGUAUAUGAUUCAGCUGGAAAAUAGUGCUUAAGUGGCAGCCAUAUUUGCCACAUCUCAGCCUUUCAGUAUAUAUACAAAGUGUGUACAUAAUUACAUACAUUUGCCUUUUUGUUCCAAAUACAAGCAGAUAUAUAUGUACUAUACUUAAUGAUUUUUCUCUAUGGGUUUACACAUAUAGAGAUCUAUAAAUUAUAUAUCAACCAGAGUUACAUGCAGAACUACACUGUACAUUUCGUAGAUUCUCAAAAUCCAACACUUACCGAUUUUGCAGUGCCAGUUGCUCGUGCGAAAUCAGUUGUGGCUUCGCAACGCUAAAGUUAUUUAGAUAAAACAGAUAAAGUCAUAUCAAUUCCGUAACCGAAACUCAAAUUAUCCAGCUUAAUUCUUAGUUUCUGUGUUGUGCUUAUGGAAAAAAUGGUUCAUUAAGUAAGCGAAUUUGACCGAAACAAUUUCUUCAAUUAAAUAAAGCAUCUAAUUUGAUAAAAAGUGUUUUGUUCGGAAAUUGUGGCAACUACGCAGUAUACCUACGAUUCUCAAAAAUUUUCCCCGCAUCUGGAUGCCAUGUUUCUAUACACUGUAUACAUACUUAUACUCACGUGUCUAUAAAUAUUUAUCGUUACAAAACAACAAAAUGCCUACCUUUACCUGUCACGUAAAGCAACUCUGUCAAGUUCAAUGGCGAUCAGAUACUUAUACAUAUUAUAUGCACAUACCAUAUACAUAAAAAUAAGCUUUUAAAGAAAUAAAUUGAACACAAACAUGAAGCAGAUCUGAAAGUGCCGCAAUGUCUACACUCCAAGAAACCGAAAAGAAACACGCCAACAAUGUCUCAUAAUCGCCUUUGGCUUACAAUGAACAACAAAAACAAUAAUAUUACACAAAAACUGUGUUGCAUAAUACUUUAUUUGUGUGGCAUUUUAAAAAGGUGAGAUUGUGUUGACGUCAACCAUUUUGGCUUUUAAAUGGCUGGAAAGAAUCUCCACACUUUGGACUAGUUUGCAUUCGUGGCCAUGAAAACGCCCACACGUCUUCCAGAUAACCAGGAAACCUCUCAGAAAACCAGGAGCCGAGUUUUCAAUACCAACAACAACAUCUCAAAACGCAUUCAACAAUUAUUUGUUGACGAAGCAAAAGCUCCGUGUUUACCAAUAAUCGACCAUAUGUUAAGCUUGCGCAGAACGCGUCAACUUGAACUUGAAAAUCGGGUGAGUCAAAUCGAUAGGUCAGUCAUGUUCUUCCAUUUAUUUGUGUUAUGUAAACAGAACCAAGCAUGUGUGAGCGAUACCAACACAUCUUUAAAUCAAUACAUAUUAAAGUCGAGAGUAAAACCUACAAACACUAGGCCCCUGAGGAACCACACUAUAUUGACGUGUUUGCUCCACCAGUGCAUCUACGUAUCUUAAAGCGAAUGUAUGUCAAAAAUGUGCAGAGGAGAAAGCGCAAUAUUAGAGAGGGAAAGUAAAAGGGGAGGGGGAACUUUUCUGGGUAGUUUGAAUUGUAUAGAUACUGAGUCAUGUAAAUGUAGUGGAAAAUUAUCAUUAAAUGGCUCUAUUCCCUGUACAGAUUCUUAACAAAAUCCGGGCUUUUUCCGGCUGAGCUUUCGCCAGUGUGGCCAUUUGCAUAUACAUCUUUUUAUUAUAUCUGAAUCAUCUUAAAAUUGACUCUAUACAAAAUAUUUGUCUACAAAGUCAUCGGGUAAUUUUUCUAACCACAAAAUUGCAAAUAUUAUAAACAGUCGCUUUGAAGGCUUUGAAAGAGAUCUCAUUAGCAGAAAACUCUUAAUUUUGAGUGAGCCAACAAAAUCCCGAAAGGAAAUGAGCCCAAUUAAAACAGCAGGAAGAUAACAAAGGAUAUGAUUUCCUCUCCUG